rnacentral:rRNA from 1 species
UACGUAGGGUGCUAGCGUUAUCCGGAUUUACUGGGCGUAAAGGGUGCGUAGGUGGUCUUUCAAGUCGGUGGUUAAAGGCUACGGCUCAACCGUAUUAAGCCGCCGAAACUGGAAGACUUGAGUGCAGGAGAGGAAAGUGGAAUUCCUAGUGUAGUGGUGAAAUACGUAGAUAUUAGGAGGAAUACCAGUAGCGAAGGCGACUUUCUGGACACAAACUGACGCUGAGGCACGAAAGCGUGGGUAGCAAACAGG